UGGGGAAUUUUACGCAAUGGGCGAAAGCCUGACGUAGCGACACCGCGUGAACGAAGAAGCCUUUUGGGGUGUAAAGUUCUGUCGGCUGGGAAGAAGAAAAUGACGGUACCAGCAAAGGAAGCAUCGGCUAACUACGUGCCAGCAGCCGCGGUAAGACGUAGGAUGCAAGCGUUGUCCGGAUUUAUUGGGCGUAAAGAGUUCGUAGGCGGUUUGUUAAGUCUGACGUUAAAGAUCAGGGCUCAACCCUGGAAUUGCUUCGGAUACUGGCAGACUGGAGUAUGGUAGAGGUAAGUGGAAUUUCUGGUGUAGCGGUGAAAUGCGUAGAUAUCAGGAAGAACACCGGUGGCGUAGGCGACUUACUGGGCCAUAACUGACGCUGAGGAACGAAAGCCAGGGGAGCGAAUGGG
rnacentral:rRNA from 1 species